GCCUCUCCUCUCUUCUCUUCCUCUCUUCUCAGAUCAGAGCAGAUCUCCUCCUCCAAAAUUAAAUCAAUUUUGGACUCCUUCCUCCAUUGCAGAUAAGAGCAAUUUGUAAUUUUGUAUAUCGCAAAUCUUGAUGGGAGCUUUGAGUUCAAGAAGGUUGGGCUGACUGAGAAAGAUCUCCCUGGAGGUGGUGCAGAGGUGUCGUAUCUCCGCCUCCGUCAUCUACACAUACUUCGUCAUCCAGUCACUCUUCGUCAACACAAGCCGUCAUAUAAGAUUGUCCACAAUCGUCUCUGAGCUCUCACUUCGCUAGAUCGGGUUUCGCCUCUUUCUCACAUACUGGAGCAACCACUUGUUCUUUCUCCUCAACCAAUUCUGGUGCGUUCACUCCUUCCUCUGUUUUUAAAAUUGACAUUUCUCUUCUGUCUUCCUUCUCCUCUGCGCGUAAUCGGUUGAUUAAGUUUUAAUGUGGUUUUUUUUCGGUUGCUCUAGUUUGUAUCGGAAUUGAGCUCUUCUUCUCCAUAAUGGGGGGCAUCGAUUUAAUUCUCUAGGACUAAAAUUGUUUGGUGUUUUGGUCUGUUUUUGUUUGUCUCGGAAUAUUGGCCUAUCUGUUUAAAUGGUCAUAUGUGGGAUGUUAAACGUGAUGACUUUGAUUCAUUAGAAGACUCUAAUGUUGGAAGGCUUGAGAUUGCCAACCUUUCACAUGAUGAAUCUUAAUUGGAGACGUUCUUGUUUGAAGAUGAUGAGUUUGAAGAGAAAAACAUUGCGGAUAAUGAUGUUGUUGAAGCUUGAUGAAGUCAUUAAUUGAAAACAACUUUCCCUUAUUUGUAUUUUAAUUUGACUAUAGACCUUUUCUCAAACCUUUGUUUGAGUUUGGAUUUGGAUUGACUAUGUGAUGAAGUCAUUUGUUAUUUGUAUUGUAAUUUGAUUAUGCAUCCUUGUUUGGAUUUGGAUUGAUGUUUUUUAUUAAGAAACUAUUUUGUUGAUGUUAUUUUUUCAAUUAUAUUAUAAUAAUAUUAUAUUUAUUUUUAAUUUUGACUUUUCUUUCACGUUUCGUAUCAG
rnacentral:lncRNA from 1 species